rnacentral:ncRNA from 1 species
CAUGUGAACAUCACUUGGACAUGGGUUAGUCGAUCCUAAGAGAUGGGGAAUCCUUGUAUCAAGGGUGCACUUUGCAUGAACAUCGAAAGAGAAUUGGGUUAAUAUUCCCGAACCGGAACAUGGUGGUGGACGACAAUGUUAGGAAAUCUAGAGAUGUCAUCAGGGGCCUGGGAAGAGUUAUCUUUUCUUUUUAAUGACUUUCCCACCCUGAAAUUGGUUCAAACAGAGAUAGGGUCCAACAUCUGGAAGAGCACCACGUGUCUUGCAGUGUUUGGUGCCCCCUCGACGACCAUUGAAAAUAUGGAGAACCGAGCACCAUCCAUGCUCGAUCGUACU